CAAAAGGCUUGUCUUAAGUCUAAGACCCUGAGAACAGGAACUCUUUCCCUAACUCAGCCUUCCAAGAUCAUUUAUGAAGUCUUGGCUGUGUACCAGCGCUGUGUAUGGAAUUCCUGGAAGAAACUGGGGUAGGAGCUCCCAGGCCAGCUGAAGUGACAAGAUUCUCAAACCUCACAGAGGGGAGAUGACAAGAAGAGAUAAUGUCCUAGGAGGCUGUGUUAUCGACAUCUGCCAGUUUUGUCAGCUCUGUAGGCACUGCUCAAAGAAGAAAGGGACACCAUCCCUAGUUUCAAGGCGCGACUUGUCCUGCCCCUGAUGGCUGUGGCUGAUCCACGAGGAAGUAAACUUGGACUGGGAAAACACAAACUGUCUCGGCCUGCAACAUACAUCCCAUUGAUAAAUGUAUUGAUAAACCCUAACAUCGAUAAGACAUCUGUCUGGACCUUUCAGGUCUGAACAGACAGGGCAGCUGCUGAGAACCUGGGGAAACUGACAAUCCGAUUCCUCUCUGUGUCUGAACCUUCCCUCUUCUCACUGCACCACCAGUGCAGGCCUCUUUGACUCACACAAGACCGUUUUUUUAGCACAAGGUCACCUCGAGGUCAACCGUCAACCCCAAUGCUACAGAAACUCACCUCUGACUGCGAACCUCCAGGUUUUUUUUUAAUCUACCAAGCAAUGAAUUGGCACUUUUCACUGAGGAAUGACUACUGGGCCCUU
rnacentral:lncRNA from 1 species